rnacentral:rRNA from 1 species
GAGGAAUUUUGCGCAAUGGGGGCAACCCUGACGCAGCAACGCCGCGUGAGUGAAGAAGGCCUUUGGGUCGUAAAGCUCUGUCAACAGGGAAGAAGUUACAAUUGUUUAACAGAUGGUUGUAUUGACGGUACCUGUGGAGGAAGCGCCGGCUAACUCCGUGCCAGCAGCCGCGGUAAUACGGGGGGCGCAAGCGUUAUUCGGAAUUAUUGGGCGUAGAGGGCGCGCAGGCGGUCUUGUCCGUCAGGUGUGAAAGCUCGGGGCUCAACCCCAGAAGUGCACUUGAAACAGCAAGACUUGAAUACGGGAGAGGAAAGCGGAAUUCCUGGUGUAGAGGUGAAAUUCGUAGAUAUCAGGAGGAACACCGAUGGCGAAGGCAGCUUUCUGGACCGAUAUUGACGCUGAGGCGCGAAGGCGUGGGUAGCAAAC